rnacentral:rRNA from 1 species
CUUAAUUUUGUUGGCGGUUAAUUAACCUUUCACAGGAAUUUGUUAACUUUAAUUGAUACCCCGCUUUUAUUUUUACUAUUUUUAAUUUUAUGUACGGCUGUUUUUAUUUUAAUUUAGUUAUUUUUAUUCAAAAAUUAAUUUUAAAAUUCAGGUCAAUGUGUAGAUUAUAAAUUAGUUUUUAAUGAGUUACUUUUAUUGGAUAUUUUUUUUAAUUAAUUUUAAAAUUGGAUGUGAUAGUAAAUUAAUAACAAAAUUUUUUAUUGAUUUAGGUCCUAAUUAAAGCACAUAUCGCCCGUCACUCUUUUGAUAG